UGCGACAUAUACAUUCACGAGAGCUUACACAACUGUCCUGGCUGCGAGAGCAUUCACCGUACCAAAUCUAUUUCCUUGAUAUGGAAGAAUGAGAGAACGUAUUCACACGCUAAAUAUUUUUGUGGAAUAAAGGUUACAAAUAGUUAGUUACAGUUUUUGAGAUCAAGCUAUAUAACUUUACCCUUUACCAUUAUUUACAGGUUUCUUGCAGUAACUUGAGAAAUUGAGAAUACUGUAUGUAUUAAAAUAUCGAGAUACAAAUUGAUCCGUAACAAAGUAUUCGGAGCUACGUAGUUUAAGCAGUUACAAAAACAAAGUAUAUUAAACUUGCAAAAAUAAAAAUUUACUAUUAUUGCAAA